UUUUGGACAAUGGGCGCAAGCCUGAUCCAGCCAUGCCGCGUGGAUGAUGAAGGCCCUAGGGCUGUAAAGUCCUUUCGACGGGGAAGAUAAUGACGGUACCCGUAGAAGAAGCCCCGGCUAACUUCGUGCCAGCAGCCGCGGUAAUACGAAGGGGGCUAGCGUUGCUCGGAAUCACUGGGCGUAAAGCGCACGUAGGCGGACUCUUAAGUCGGUGGUGAAAUCCUGGAGCUCAACUCCAGAACUGCCUUCGAUACUGAGAGUCUUGAGUCCGGGAGAGGUGAGUGGAACUGCGAGUGUAGAGGUGAAAUUCGUAGAUAUUCGCAAGAACACCAGUGGCGAAGGCGGCUCACGGCCCGGUACUGACGCUGAGGUGCGAA
rnacentral:rRNA from 1 species